UGGGAUGUAGCUCAGUGAUAGAGCUCUUGCUUAGCAUACCAAGACCCUGUGUUAGAUCCUCAGCACCACAA
rnacentral:tRNA from 1 species